UACGGGGGGAGCAAGCGUUGUUCGGAUUUACUGGGCGUAAAGGGCGCGUAGGCGGUCGUGACAAGUCACUUGUGAAAUCUCCGGGCUUAACUCGGAACGGUCAAGUGAUACUGUCGGACUAGAGUACAGAAGGGGGCAACUGGAAUUCUCGGUGUAGCGGUAGAAAUGGCGUAGAUAUCGAGAGGAACACCUGCGGCGAAGGCGGGUUGCUGGGCUGAUACUGACGCUGAGGCGCGAAAGCCAGGGAGCGAACGGG
rnacentral:rRNA from 1 species